UGAGGCAGAGGAAUGGUGUUUGGUCCACUUAUUUUGUUAUCAGGAACUUGUCUCUUCCCAGUCAAUCAUUCUCCUAGCAUUCACUCCCAUCACGUUUCUAUGGAACACUUGUCCAGGUCUCACCCCUAUGCUAGUGAUGCUGAGACGUGCAAAGGCAGCUUCCUCAGGACAGAAUGAGAAUGUGCUCCCUGUUAAUGUUAAUGACGUCAUGAUCUGAGUCCAGAAUCAGUCUGGACGAGUCCAGGAGAUGAAGGUGUGGCUAAUGUCUCAGCAAAAUGGUAAAUGCUGGGACCUUCA